GUCAUAAUAAAAAUACAAAAUAUAAUAUCAACUGCGAAAUCAAAACGAAAUAUAAAGAAACUCGUACUGUCGUACAAAUGGGUCGAAGUUACAGCAUUUAAAAGUUGGACAAAAAAUUACGUCUAUCAUGUCACUGAUGUCAGGAAUUGAUAUUGGUAUUAUCGUACUAAAACAACUUGUUGACCAAGAGAAAUGGAUAACAGUUCUACAUAAAAUUGGUGAACGGUGUUCAGAUGUACCACAGUUCCCAAACCACACCAGCCAGAAUGAUUAUCGUUCAUUCACUUUACAAGAACUAUCGGCUUUAAAGUUCACCGAGAAGUUCAAUUUUCAUGGU